UACGGAGGGAGCUAGCGUUGUUCGGAAUUAGCUAGGGCGUAAACGCAGCGGUAGGCGGCGAAUUCAAGUCAGAAGGUCGAAAGCCCGGGGGCUUCAACCCCGGAAACUGCCUUUUGAAAACUAGUAUUGCUAGAAUCCUGGAGAGGUUAGUGGAAUUCCGAUGUGUAGGAAGGUGAAAUUCGUAGAUAAUUCGGAAGAACACCAAGGUGGCGAAGGCGACUAACAUGGACAGGUAUUGACGCUG
rnacentral:rRNA from 1 species